rnacentral:lncRNA from 1 species
UUAUAAUAUCUAUUGGUUAGGGAACAUGAGAUCUGCUUGGAGAAUUGGCAGCUAAAAAUGCCAUUUACAUAUUCUGCUCUCUUAAUACUUCAGCUGGCCUGCCAGAAAAUUACAUUUUGUCUCUGUGGCAGAGAACCCACGGGCUGGCCACUUUGCCAUCCCUGCAGCUUGCCAUCGGGAGCUCACUGAUGCCUGAUGUGCUGGGAGCCAUAUGGCCACUUCUCGCUGCUCUUCCUCUUGCUGCUCCCCUGAAAGUUUCAAGUGGAGAAGAACCAGCUGCUGACACCAAGGACAAACAGGGACUUUGUCCGUGAGAGGGACAGUGAUGGCGACAGACAUUUGACCGUACCUCAGAUUCCCCUCAAGACAUUCUCCUCCUGGCUACCUCUUGCCCUCAGAUUUUCUGUAAUAUGCAUACAUUCCUCCCUCAUGUUGUUUUUGUUUUUUUAAAUUUUUUUUUCUGUACAUUUCUUAUUGCUUAAUCUGUACUAAAGUUUCUAGUAAAUAUGCAGAUUAUUUGUAACUGCAAAUCUAUUCAUUUGAUAAUUGGCAUAAAAGUGUUGCACAUGGAGCAGCACAAAACUUGGCAGCAGUAGGCAGGAGGAGGUUUCGGUGCCUAAUCCCCACCAGGCACGUGGGUUAAGGUGUUUACUUGCGCCAUUUGUGUGGGAAGGAGCAGCCUUGCCUGUUCAUGUGGAAAUUCCUAAUUGCUUUCUUUGUUUUGACAGAUUUAUGGGUUACAACAAAACAUAAUUGCAAGUAACAUAACAAAGUAACACUCUCAUGAGCACCUGUAGUGUUGCUAUUAUAAAUAGAACUACUAAUGUACAGUGUUGGUUAUUGUGAAAGUACAUUCAGCUGAAGUUCUCAAUUUUUCUUGCCAUGCACAUUGUGCUCUCGGUCUUCCACUUUAGUUUCCAGGAGAAUUUCUUCAGUCUUUGGCUCAGACAUGCAACCUCUGUUGCCUCACUUAACUGUUCAACACUGAAAUGGUUAAUAAUGUGCUAGAGGCAAGUUAGUACCUUGUAACCUGUUACUUGUCCUGAAUUUCCACUCUCAUGGUUGAAAUGAAUCCCUGGGUUUUUGGAGAAAUCUCUGCUUUGUGAAGUUGUCCUCUCCAAAAAGGUGUUGCACUGUAAGACAGAAUAAAGUAAAAUUGUGCCUGUGGCA